CGCCGACGCCGCGAGCGACGUCCUGUGCCGGGGGCUGCCGGGGCCCCGCGUCCCUGGCGGGGGCUGGCUCGGGCGCUCCUCUCUCCGGACGUCGCAGCACGCGGGGUCCUCGGCGCUGAGAAAGACUCCUUGACCAGUGCUCCAGACAUCCUCCCGGAACACGGGAUACUGGUCCCCACUGCCCCAGGCGCUUUCUCUUCCUGGAAUUUUUCCCAUCGACUCAUGGACUUCACUCUCACCUAUGCUUCUGGUUCAGCUCCCCUGACAACCCCUUGUGAAGUCUAACUCUGGGGCUGCUCGUGCCUUCUGUGUACCUCUUCAACGGAGCAAUUGUUAUCUGUCCUUUUCAGCACAAUUGUUAAUUUUAGGUCCGUUUCCUUAUUCACCUGUCACUUUAAAUGCAAGAACUAUGUAUUUUGGCUUUCUGUUCCCAAUAUGUAGUAGAAUGCUUGAACAAAAUAGAUCCUUAACAAGCAUUUAUUACACAAAUACACUCAAUAUAUAUUUGUUUAAAAAAAAGAGACUCUCUUAAAUAAGAUAUUAUACACUGCAAUCUUCAGUUUCUUUUAAAGAAAUGACCAAGAUAUCCUUAUAAUGAUGCUUACAAUAUUCAUUUCUUCUUAGGCAUUCAAAGGUAAACUUCACCUUCUCCUAGAUAGAAUAUGGAAAAAAAACUGAAUUAAUGAGGUCUGCAGCUCCGACAUUUUUAACGUACGAUAUUUUCUUUUUUCAUAUACGAUAUCUCACUAGUAGACUAAUCAUUUAUCGAAGUUUACGUUUUCCAAAAUUAUAUUCUAUGAAGAGAAUUUAUAGGUAAGAUUAGAAAUCUAAAGGUCAAUUAGAUAACAUUUUAGAAUGCUAAUAAUGAGAAUAUAUUUAACAAUUUCGUCCAAAUAAGAAGCUCUUCCAAACCCGCUCAGAAGCUACUUUGCUGAUUUGUAACUAAAGUCAUUUUAGAAAGAAUAAGGCAGUUCAUUCAGGCCAAUAAAUGUACUCUUCUUCCCAACUGAUAAAAUUCAUCCUGUUUCUUUUCCCCUCGUCCAUCCUUUUAAUAAGAAUUUUUUUCAGAGUUACACAUGCAUAUACAUUAAUAAUCAAAUAAUUCCACAAGCUCUUUCUUUAAAAAUGCCUCCUCCUCCCCCAUCCCCAGUUGUUCCCUUUCAGAGGCAAAUACUCAAACCUCUUUUUGCUGUUUCUGUAUUUAGCUACAUUUCUGUAAAUAACCUGUUAGAUGCUUGUCUUGAUUUUUUUCUCACCUUUCGUCUUUAAAGACACCCCCCCCCUUCCCCAGGACAAGUGGGAACAUAAUCGGGAAUAAUAUUCAUUCUUCAGCGCAUAUGCACCCCCCGCCUGGGGGUUCAACAAAGCUCCCUUCAUUAGGAUGUUACAGAAACAAUCCUUAACUCAGACAUGCAGGGAACUUGAGUUCUCUGUGACUUACGGCUCUGGUUUUCCUAGAGGUAACCACUAUCUUGCAAUUUCCUAUGUACUUGCUACUUCAAACCUCAAAUACUUCCCAGUUGUUUCAGCAGAAUAGGGUGCUCAAUCAGAUUUAUCCCCUAGAGUCUUAUUCUCAUCUGGACCUGUUGCUCUGAUGCCUAGACGCCAGCUACCAGCCGGACAGCCUCAGGGAACGCCCUCGUGGGGGAUUCUUUGGCUUCUGUCCAUGGGUUUGCUAUCUACAUCCUUUCUGGACUUGGUGGACCAUGGCAUCUAGGAUCUUCCUAAGGAAAAGCUCAUGGGAACAAAUUUCCAAGAUGCUGCCUGCUUAAAAGUGUGUUUAUUCUACCUUGUAUCUAAUUGUUUGGCUGAGCAUGGAAUUCUAGUUCAGAAAUUCUUAUCCUUCAAAUUUCCAAGCAUGACUCCCAUCUUCAGAGGUUGGGGCCCUGGGACCUGUCCUUUCAUUCUCUUAUCUCAUCUCUCUUACUUUAUGCCAUUUCAUCUCUUUGCUCUACUUUCAGGAGGAUUCGGUGAGCUUUAUUGUGUAAUGAUUUUAUUGAGUUUUUUUUUUUUUUUCUAUCACAUUUUAAUUUCCGAGAGCUCUUUUAUGUACUCUGAAUGUUGGGUUUUUCUUUUCUUUUUUUUUGUUUUGAACUGACUGGUCUCAUUGCACAGUUGCACUGUAUCCUCUUAUCGCUGAGAUAUUCGGAGCACUUUUAUUUUCACGUUUGAUUUCCUCCCUUCAUGGCCCUGUUUUCUCCAAGCCAUUUUUUUCUUUGUUUGUUGCUCUCUUAUUUUUUUUUUUUUUCAAGUGGGAAGGCUGUGCAUUCUUGAUUGAAUUGCAUUGCAAUCUGGACACCUAGGCUGGAGAAGGGGACCCAUCUGAACUGUUUAAAAUGGAGACACUUGUGCAUUUCUUCCCUUUACGUCGGUCAGAUUUGCCAAAACACAUCCGGAGUUUUCUGUCCAGAAGAGCAAAGGCUGUGCUGUCAGUUUUCUGAGAACCAAAUGGGAGAAGACCGCAGGGGUGAGGGAAUCUCCAUCCAGCAUGCACACAUUCAUUUAAACCCACAUUUUGGUUCCCUCACUCUACCUCUCCUGGUGGCACCCAACCCAACAAUUUUCUCCAACUGUCUCCAAAAAAAUCAUCCUCCCUGCAUAAAGACAUGGGCAGUAGUCCUUCUCUGGGAUGAAGGAGAGCAACAGCUGGGUUGGGAAGGGCAGGCAUGGGCUGUGGACAUCUGAUGGCUUCUAAACAGAUUUGCACUUUCCACCUUAUGCUCUCGCUGCUGCUGCUUCCACAGUAUCUACUGCCCUGAGUCCCUGUGUCUGGAGCAUCUGGGAUGUGAAUCUGGUUUGCUGGGUUCCCCCUGCUGUGUCAGCAAAGAUUUCAAUAAACCCUUUACUGUGCACCAA